AGUUUGAUCCUGGCUCAGGAUGAACGCUAGCUACAGGCUUAACACAUGCAAGUCGAGGGGAAACGAUAGAGAAAGCUUGCUUUUUCUAGGCGUCGACCGGCGCACGGGUGAGUAACGCGUAUCCAACCUGCCCAUCACUUGGGGAUAACCUUGCGAAAGUAAGACUAAUACCCAAUGAUAUCUCAAGAAGACAUCUGAAUGAGAUUAAAGAUUUAUCGGUGAUGGAUGGGGAUGCGUCUGAUUAGCUUGUUGGCGGGGUAACGGCCCACCAAGGCUACGAUCAGUAGGGGUUCUGAGAGGAAGGUCCCCCACAUUGGAACUGAGACACGGUCCAAACUCCUACGGGAGGCAGCAGUGAGGAAUAUUGGUCAAUGGGCGAGAGCCUGAACCAGCCAAGUAGCGUGCAGGAUGACGGCCCUAUGGGUUGUAAACUGCUUUUAUAAGGGAAUAAAGUGAGCCUCGUGAGGCUUUUUGCAUGUACCUUAUGAAUAAGGACCGGCUAAUUCCGUGCCAGCAGCCGCGGUAAUACGGAAGGUCCGGGCGUUAUCCGGAUUUAUUGGGUUUAAAGGGAGCGUAGGCCGGAGAUUAAGCGUGUUGUGAAAUGUAGACGCUCAACGUCUGCACUGCAGCGCGAACUGGUUUCCUUGAGUACGCACAAAGUGGGCGGAAUUCGUGGUGUAGCGGUGAAAUGCUUAGAUAUCACGAAGAACUCCGAUUGCGAAGGCAGCUCACUGGAGCGCAACUGACGCUGAAGCUCGAAAGUGCGGGUAUCGAACAGGAUUAGAUACCCUGGUAGUCCGCACGGUAAACGAUGGAUGCCCGCUGUUGGUCUGAAUAGGUCAGCGGCCAAGCGAAAGCAUUAAGCAUCCCACCUGGGGAGUACGCCGGCAACGGUGAAACUCAAAGGAAUUGACGG
rnacentral:rRNA from 1 species